GGUGUGAGAGAGAGAGAGAGAGAAAGAGAGAGAGAGAUUGGGGCGGAGGGAGGAAGGGGGAAUCCUCUGCUUCCCAAGAGGGAGUCAAUAAUUAAAAUGCAUCAGUCAGGAAAAUGAUUCCCUCCCUCCCUCACUCUCUCUCUCUCUCUCUCUCUCUCUCUCUCUCU